rnacentral:rRNA from 1 species
GAUGAACGCUGGCGGCGUGCCUAAUACAUGCAAGUCGAGCGAAUGGAUUAAGAGCUUGCUCUUAUGAAGUUAGCGGGGGACGGGUGAGUAACACGUGGGUAACCUGCCCAUAAGACUGGGAUAACUCCGGGAAACCGGGGCUAAUACCGGAUAACAUUUUGAACCGCAUGGUUCGAAAUUGAAAGGCGGCUUCGGCUGUCACUUAUGGAUGGACCCGCGUCGCAUUAGCUAGUUGGUGAGGUAACGGCUCACCAAGGCAACGAUGCGUAGCCGACCUGAGAGGGUGAUCGGCCACACUGGGACUGAGACACGGCCCAGACUCCUACGGGAGGCAGCAGUAGGGAAUCUUCCGCAAUGGACGAAAGUCUGACGGAGCAACGCCGCGUGAGUGAUGAAGGCUUUCGGGUCGUAAAACUCUGUUGUUAGGGAAGAACAAGUGCUAGUUGAAUAAGCUGGCACCUUGACGGUACCUAGCCAGAAAGCCACGGCUAACUACGUGCCAGCCGCCGCGGUAA